GUCAGUAUGGCCGAGUGGUUAAGGCGCCGGACUUGAACGCAAGCACUAACUAAGUGCUGUGAGCAAUCCUGUGGGCACUGCCCGCGCAGGUUCAAAUCCUGCUGCUGACG